AAUUUAGUGGCGGAAUCAGUUAGCGCACGGUACUUAUAAUGCCGUGUCCGAGAGUUCGAGCCUCACCUGGGAUA